rnacentral:rRNA from 1 species
UACGUAGGGUGCAAGCGUUGUCCGGAAUUAUUGGGCGUAAAGAGCUCGUAGGCGGUCUGUCGCGUCUGCUGUGAAAACUCAGGGCUUAACCCUGAGCUUGCAGUGGGUACGGGCAGACUAGAGUGCGGUAGGGGAGACUGGAAUUCCUGGUGUAGCGGUGAAAUGCGCAGAUAUCAGGAGGAACACCGGUAGCGGAAGGCAGGGUCUCUGGGC